rnacentral:rRNA from 1 species
AAUCAACGCUGGCGGCGUGCCUAACACAUGCAAGUCGAACGAGAAAAGUUGCUUCGGUGACUGAGUAUAGUGGCGAACGGGUGAGUAACGCGUGGAUGACCUGCCUUAUAGUGGGGGAUAACUCGGGGAAACCCGGGCUAAUACCGCAUGAGCCCUUCGGGGGAAAGGCUUUUAUAAGUUGCUAAAAGAGGGGUCCGCGUCCGAUUAGCUAGUAGGUAAGGUAACGGCUUACCUAGGCUACGAUGACUAGCCGGCCUGAGAGGGUGACCGGUCACACUGGGAUUGAGAUACGGCCCAGACUCCUACGGGAGGCAGCAGUGGGGAAUUUUGCGCAAUGGGGUAACCCCUGACGCAGCAACGCCGCGUGGAGGAUGAAGGCCUUCGGGUUGUAAACUCCUGUCAGAAGGGAAGAACAGCGCGUAGGUUAAUAGCCUGCGUGUUUGACGUACCUUCAGAGAAGCCACGCUAAC